rnacentral:pre_miRNA from 1 species
UUUUAGUUUUUUAUACAAUGUUUUAACUUUUCGUUUUAUUUAAAAUUUUGCGAUUAAUAUUUUUAUUCUUACUAGAUGAUAAAACAUGAAUAAUACUGUAUGCAUGACUAAUUUUUUCAAGUUUUGUUACAAAUUUUUCAAAUAAGACGAAUGGUCAAACGUUAGACAUGGAAAAACGAAAAAUGAACUUAUA